ensembl:lncRNA LINC00680 long intergenic non-protein coding RNA 680
CGCAGUCCCUCUGCGGAAGGCGCCGCUCUUGGCUUCGGCGGCGCCGCUGUAGCUUGGAGGCGGUACUUCCUCCAGCAUUUGCCGCGAGUUAUUGGCAAGUUCCCCUGCAGUUGUUUGGGCUGUCGCUGUGGCUGGUUCUGCGGUGUGCGGCCAGCCAUGGAGCGCUCUGGGCCCAGCGAAGUGACAGGCUCAGACGCAUCGGGACCGGACCCGCAGCUUGUGGUCACCAUGGGCUUCACGGGGUUCGGGGUUCGGUAAAAAAGCUCACACAUUUGACUUGGAAGCAAUGUUUGAACAAACUCAAAGAACAGCUGUGGAAAGAAGUCACAAAACACUGGACCAGAUUACAGAGGGGUAUUGAUUUGCCUUGCCCCCGCCCCCACCAUCACAGUGUGUCCCUGUCCAGUGUUGGUGCUGUGUGGCAUUGCUUGUGUCCAUAGGAGUCCAUCAAGGCAGAGCGGCAGAGCGGCAAGCAGAGCGGCAAGGCAGUUCAACCCAAUGGAAAUGGAUUGAAAGAGUGAAAGUCACUGGUCUCAAAGAAUCUACGGAAUUUAGCAUUUUGAAAAUCACAGAGCAAUUUUGGGUAGGUAUUCACAUGCACUAAAAAACCAGGCAAACAUCUGACUCCCAGGAUAAAGUGACUGAGAGCAGUAGAAGACUUGUUGAGCCUUAAGGAAUAAGAGGAAAAUUAUGUUAUGAAGUGCAGGAACAGCACAGACCCAGACGAGGGGAUGCAGCCCGGAGCCAGUAACCCGGCGCCUCCUCCUCCCCAGGGCGCAGCGCUGGCUGCUCCCCGGAUACCGUGAUCACACGUCCCAGGUCCUGAGAGCGCCUCAUAGGUAGACAGUUCUUUGGGACUUUUGGGACGCAGCACUUGAAGAGAGGUUUACCUAAACUUUCCUCCUGGGAGCCUGUCAUCAUUUGAAAGUAACAGAAGAAAGCUGUCAGGCUGAGGAAAGUUUCAACAGGCACUUGGUGAGAAUGGGAAGCAUCCAUUCAUUGGGAAAUCACGGGGACAGAGGAGGAAUUCACGGGAUCAGAGCACUGAGAAACUCCAGAGGCUUCUGGUUCACCGCCCUGAUUCCACAGAUGUGGGUCAGAGGCAGAGAUGGAAGUUGGAAUGGACAAGCCUGCCCUCUCCUCAGCUCUCCAUGGCUCUGUCCUCAGGCUGUUUCUGCAAUUUGACAUGAGGCCUGGCCCCAGGGAAACCAGUGGGGCCUCAUCUCCUCCCUGUGCUGCUCUGAGGUGGAGCCUUCUCAGGGUCAGUCCAGCUCUGGAGCCCCUCUCCAGCUCGGUCACCAAAGCUGUCUGGUCCCAGGGCAGUGUGGAGUGACAGGCACGCCAGCCAAUCCAAUCGGCCAUUUCAUACCCAAUGCAUGUGACUGAUAAAGAGAUAACACCCUGUCUCCAAGACACAGGCUUUACAUAAACAGCUUUAAUGACUUCUUCACUUAGGGACAAGACUCCUUAGUGGUGGAACCUCAGGCAUCCAUGCAGGAUGUAAGAAAGCUCCCGUAUAUACAUGAACUGAGAAGUGUGUAGAAGAGUAAAUACUGUAAUAGGUAAUAAAAUGUAUGUAUUUUUAUUUAUGUG